GAGGCGGUAGCUCAGGGGUAGAGCGGAUGAUUGCAGCCGUGUAAUUCUCAUCAGGUCAGGUGUUCGACUCACCUUCGCCUCU
rnacentral:tRNA from 1 species